rnacentral:lncRNA from 1 species
AUGGCAGGUUAUGGAUGAAUCGUCAAACCUCAACAUUGGUCAUAUGAUAGAUUCAAUCAGCUCGAGUCCAUAUGUGAUUCUAUGAAAACUAUUUUCCAUCAGUCAUAAUGCUAUGGCCAUAGACUUAAAAACUCAGCCUCUUAAAUUUUAUAGGACUACUUUCUUCUGUUAGGAUCGAUAGAUCCUAUUUUGAUGCACACCCC